CCUUUUGGUUUGGAAUAACACGGGGAAACUUGUGCUAAUACCGAAUAAGCCCUUACGGGGAAAGUUUUAAUGCCAAAAGAUGAGCCCGCACUUGAUUAGCUAGUUGGUAAGGUAAAAGCUUACCAAGGCAACGAUCAAUAGCUGUUCUUAGAGGAAGACCAGCCACAUUGGGACUGAGACACGGCCCAGACUCCUACGGGAGGCAGCAGUGGGGAAUCUUGCACAAUGGGGGAAACCCUGAUGCAGCGAUGCCGCGUGAGUGAAGAAGGCCUUUGGGUUGUAAAACUCUUUCGUCGGGGAAGAAAAUGACUGUACCCGAAUAAGAAGGUC
rnacentral:rRNA from 1 species